GACAGAGGGUGCAAACGUUGUUCGGAAUUACUGGGCGUAAAGCGCGUGUAGGCUGCUUGGAAAGUCGGAUGUGAAAGCCCUGGGCUCAACCUAGGAAGUGCAUUCGAAACUUCUGAGCUUGAGUAUCGGAGAGGAAGGCGGAAUUCUCGGUGUAGAGGUGAAAUGCGUAGAUAUCUGGAGGAAUACCGGUGGCGAAGGCGGCAUCCUGGACCGGCAUUGACGCUGAGUGAGCGAAAGCCAGGGGAGCAAAGCGGG
rnacentral:rRNA from 1 species